rnacentral:rRNA from 1 species
CCUACGGGAGGCAGCAGUGGGGAAUAUUGGGCAAUGGCGGCAACUCUGACCCAGCAAAGUCGCGUGAAUGAUGACGGUCCUCGGAUUGUUAAGUUCUUUUUUAAGGGAAGAAGAAAGUGACGGUACCUUAGGAAUAAGCCUCGGCUAACUAAGUGCCAGCAGUCGCGGUAAUACGUAGGCGGCAAGCGUUAUCCGGAAUGACUGGGCGUAAAGGGUGCGUAGGUGGUUUGACAAGUUAGUAGCGCAACUCCGGGGCUCAACUUCGGAACUACUACUAAAACUGUUGGACUUGAGUGCAGGAGGGGCAAGCGGAAUUCCUGGUGUAGCGGUGGAAUGCGUAGAUAUUAGGUAGAACACCAGUGGCGAAGGCGGAUUGCUAGACUGUAACUGACACUGAGGCACGAAAGCGUGGGGAGCGAACAGGAUUAGAUACCCCGGUAGUC